UACAGAGGUCUCAACCGUUGUUCGGAUUCAUUGGGCGUAAAGGGUGCGUAGGCGGCGGGGUAAGUCAGGUGUGAAAUCUCGGGGCUCAACCCCGAAACUGCACUUGAUACUGCCUCGCUUGAGUACUGGAGAGGAGACUGGAAUUUACGGUGUAGCAGUGAAAUGCGUAGAUAUUGGGAGGAAAACCAGUGGCGAAGGCGGCUCACUGGACCGGAACUGACGCUGAGGCGCGAAAGCGUGGGGAGCAAACGGG
rnacentral:rRNA from 1 species